rnacentral:tRNA from 1 species
AUUUAAAUAGCUUAAUUAGAGCAUAAUAUUGAAGAUAUUAAGGUGAUAAAAUUAUCUUUAAAUA